AAUAACCAGUCGUUCAGACAAAA
rnacentral:snRNA from 1 species